rnacentral:rRNA from 1 species
GACGAACGCUGGCGGCGUGCUUAACACAUGCAAGUCGAACGAUGAACCCGGAGCUUGCUCUGGGGGAUUAGUUGCGAACGGGUGAGUAACACGUGAGUAACCUGCCCUGGACUCUGGGAUAAGCGUUGGAAACGACGUCUAAUACCGGAUAGGACCUUGGAUCGCUUGAUCUGGGGUGGAAAGUUUUUUCGGUCUGGGAUGGACUCGCGGACUAUCAGCUUGUUGGUGAGGUAAUGGCUCACCAAGGCGUCGACGGGUAGCCGGCCUGAGAGGGUUACCGGCCACACUGGGACUGAUACACGGCACAGACUCCUACGGGAGGCAGCAGUGGGGAAUAUUGCACAAUGUGCGAAAGGCUGAUGCAGCAACGCCGCGUGCGGGAUGACGGCCUUCGGGUUGUAAACCUCUUUUAGUAGGGAAGAAGGGCUUCGGCUUGACGGUACCUGCAGAAAAAGGACCGGCUAACUACGUG